GGAGAGGUGGCUGAGCGGUUGAAAGCGCACGCUUGGAGAGCGUGUGACUCGUAAGGGUUCCAGGGUUCGAAUCCCUGCCUCUCCGCCA
rnacentral:tRNA from 1 species